rfam:Myotis lucifugus cont2.6714, whole genome shotgun sequence.
GGCAGUUCUUGAGUGACGCACCCCAGAAUCGGGCUCCCUGUUCUCUGGUUCCGGGUGCAUCACCCGAGAAUCGUC